rnacentral:rRNA from 1 species
GACGAACGCUGGCGGCGUGCCUAAUACAUGCAAGUAGAACGCACAGUUUAUACCGUAGCUUGCUACACCAUAGACUGUGAGUUGCGAACGGGUGAGUAACGCGUAGGUAACCUGCCUGGUAGCGGGGGAUAACUAUUGGAAACGAUAGCUAAUACCGCAUAAUAUUGAUUAUUGCAUGAUAAUUGAUUGAAAGAUGCUAUUGCAUCACUACCAGAUGGACCUGCGUUGUAUUAGCUAGUAGGUGAGGUAACGGCUCACCUAGGCGACGAUACAUAGCCGACCUGAGAGGGUGAUCGGCCACACUGGGACUGAGACACGGCCCAGACUCCUACGGGAGGCAGCAGUAGGGAAUCUUCGGCAAUGGACGAAAGUCUGACCGUGCAACGCCGCGUGAGUGAAGAAGGUUUUCGGAUCGUAAAGCUCUGUUGUAAGAGAAGAACGGGUGUGAGAGUGGAAAGUUCACACUGUGACGGUAUCUUACCAGAAAGGGACGGCUAACUACGUG